UUUAGACUUCUUGUUUACAUUUCCGGUAUAGGAACGUGAAAAGUCAUACGAAGAAAGUAGAUUUACAUGGUUUUCUUAAUUUCUCGCGUUCUUACAGACGUAAAUCUUGAAGAAGUUAGACAACUGAAGUACUGGACAGACCUCCAACUCCAUAGCUGGUUGGACCACCAAUGACUUUCAGGACUACAGUGUACACUGCAUCUCUAAGCAGGAGCAAUGGUGUAGGGAACAGAAGAAAAGAUGCCACGUGCCUCUAUUCUACCAUACACAACAAGACCUUUAAGUUUCAUAUUUUCGGAAUUGAUGCUGAAAGAAAUUCUGUCUCCAUUUAAGGGGGAGCGUGUCAUCUAAUGUGGACAAGUGACGCAUAACUUGAAGUGAAAAGGCAUCUUCGAGGAUAGCUAUUGUUGCUAUUUGGUCAAGGAAAAAAUCCAUGGACAUCCUGCCAAACCUUACGAGGAAUCACUUCCUUCCACAAGAUACCCUUUCUUUCUUCCUCCCUAAUGGUACUUAUCCACAUGUCAAUGUUGCGGAAAAGAAGCUCUUCAUGGAUGCUGAGACUGUCUCUUGUGAUGAUAUCCAUCAACAAUCCAUAGGGGAUAUCCAAAAAAUCCUCUGCAACCAAACCAAAAAUAUCUUCCAAAUGAAGAUCCACAAACUGAAGACAUUGUGCCUUUAUGGUUGCUAUUUGGUUGUUAUGGGCUAUUGUAAGGAUUUUUAGUGAAUUUUUAAUGGAGAUGCUUUCCUGCAGGAAGAGAAUACAUUCUUCAAUCAAGCCUUUCACACCAUAAUAGUCUGCAAUUUGGUAUAUUUCCUCUAUAUUUUCAACCGAAAUUUCAAUCUGAGAAGUGUACAAAUACUCUAUCAUGAAUUUUGUGACAUCUGUAGAGUGUAUGUCACAAGUAAUGACAUUGGAUUCUGACUCCCAUUUCUCACUGAGCUGUGCUCUAAACCAAUCUGAACCCAAAAUUAAAACUAUUCUAUGGGCUCGAACUGUCCCAUCUUUAAGUUUGAUAUUUACAUCACAGUGAAGCUGGUCCCUAUAAGAUUCAAUCAGCUUAUUGCCAAGUGCAGCCAUCACAAUUCUCUGAAAAAAGUUAUUUUGAAAAUUAAUUGAUCUUAUGUGAUAAAUGCUGAUUGUUAUAUAUUACAUAUUUUCUACUGUUCUAUUACAUCUAGGUACAUUUGGAAAUUUUAUAACUAAUUUCAACAUCUUUUUAAAAUUGGGCAAUACAUAUAUGUACUCGAGUUUUUUGUGUCAGUUUAAGAAUAACACUUGGGGAUCACUUUGCACACUGUAUCAAUCUGUUACACUUUAAAUCUUGGAUAUUGCUAGAGGUAGUAAUUUGAUAUUUUGCUCAUGUAUUGCUUUGAACAAAGCUUUUGUAAAUGACCAGGAUUACCGACUUCAUGACCUGUGACCUACUUUUCAAAAUACUUCAGUGCCGAUAUACAGUUCAUGUACAAUAAAACUUGUCUAAACUCAAUGUCGUUUUGAAAUCUUGCCUAAUAUGAUGUUAACUUCAAUUCCUUUCUGUAAAUUCCAUUGAUCAAAAUGUCUAAUUCAGUGUUUUCAAUCCGGCUAGUUGCUACUGUUAACCAGUGCUGUCCAGAUAGACAAGUUUUACUGUGUAUAUUUGACAUUUUAGAGGCAAGUCUGUAUUAAUUAGCAUAUACACAGCUUGCCACGAGAAAUUUUGGAAAGUUCCAUUGCCACAAUCCAAUUGACCUUGACCUAGUCUUCAUUAACAAUGAAUCUUAAUUUAAAUUGUCUUUUGGGGUUUUGAGAAAUUGUGAUAACUUCCUACAUUAAUUAGAUGAAUAUGACACUUGACUUUCACCAAACAUUAAAUACACAAACUGAAAUUCAUUCCAAUAGUUGUAUGAAAAUUUUAUAGGAGGACAGUAACGACAACUCUUUCAAGGAUUGUUGCAUAAACAUGAUUGAAUAAAUUAACUUUUUUAUUUUUAAGAAUCUCAAAUUUGUUACUCAUUUUAGCUCCAAGAGUGGGGAAUCUUAUUUUUAUUUAAUCAUCACACUUUAUGAUGUACUACUCUAUAGUGGUCUGACUAUCUGUGCUGUUUUUUUCUGUGCAUAAAUUAUAUUGCUUGUAUUCUAAUAAAAGAAAUGAACACCUUUA